AGAGAAUAGAUACCCAGGUAGUCCACGCCCUAAACGAUCAUAACUGGCUUUGCGGAGUAUCGACCCUCUGCGAGGCGAAAGCUAACGCGUUAAGUUAUGCGCCUGGGUAGUACGAUCGCAAGAUUAAAACUCAAAGGAAUAGACGGGGACUUGCACAAGCGGUGGAUCAUGCGGCUCAAUUCGAUGACAAACGAAGAACCUCACCAGGGCUAGAAACCCACACGAUCGCUCUAGGAAACUAGGGCCUCCGCAAGGCGGGUGGGCAGGUGAUGCAUGGUCGUCGUCAGUUCGUGGCUUGAGUUGUUCCCUUCAGUGGGGUUAACGAACGCAACCCGCGUUGCCUGUUUUAUAUGUCAGGCGAGACUGCCCUCUCACGAGGGAGGAAGGUGCGGAUGACGCCAGAUCAGCAUGUCCCUCUGAUGUCCUGGGCUGCACGCAUGAUACAAUGGGCGCGACAACGAGACGCGACGGGGUUAACCCUGAGCAAAUC
rnacentral:rRNA from 1 species